GACGAACGCUGGCGGCGUGCUUAACACAUGCAAGUCGAACGGAAAGGCCCUGCUUUUGUGGGGUGCUCGAGUGGCGAACGGGUGAGUAACACGUGAGUAACCUGCCCUUGACUUUGGGAUAACUUCAGGAAACUGGGGCUAAUACCGGAUAGGAGCUCCUGCUGCAUGGUGGGGGUUGGAAAGUUUCGGCGGUUGGGGAUGGACUCGCGGCUUAUCAGCUUGUUGGUGGGGUAGUGGCUGACCAAGGGUUUGACGGGUAGCCGGCCUGAGAGGGUGACCGGCCACAUUGGGACUGAGAUACGGCGCAGACUCCUACGGGAGGCAGCAGUGGGGAAUAUUGCACAGUGGGCGGAAGCCUGAGGCAGCAACGCCGCGUGCGGGAUGACGGCCUUCGGGUUGUAAACCGCUUUCGCCUGUGACGAAGCGUGAGUGACGGUAAUGGGUAAAGAAGCACCGGCUAACUACGUG
rnacentral:rRNA from 1 species